AUUGAACGCUGGCGGCAUGCCUUACACAUGCAAGUCGAACGGUAACAGGUUAAGCUGACGAGUGGCGAACGGGUGAGUAAUAUAUCGGAACGUGCCCAGUCGUGGGGGAUAACGUAGCGAAAGCUACGCUAAUACCGCAUACGAUCUACGGACGAAAGCGGGGGAUCGCAAGACCUCGCGCGAUUGGAGCGGCCGAUAUCAGAUUAGGUUGUUGGUGCGGUAAAAGCUCACCAAGCCUGCGAUCUGUAGCUGGUCUGAGAGGACGACCAGCCACACGGGAACUGAGACACGGUCCAGACUCCUACGGGAGGCAGCAGUGGUGAAUUUUGGACAAUGGACGCAAGUCUGAUCCAGCAAUGCCGCGUGCAGGACGAAGGCCUUCGGGUUGUAAACUGCUUUUGUACGGAACGAAACGGUGAGCUCUAAUACAGUUUGCUAAUGACGGUACCGUAAGAAUAAGCACCGGCUAACUACGUGCCAGCAGCCGCCGUAA
rnacentral:rRNA from 1 species